GCUUACGGCCAUACCAGCCUGAAUGCGCCCGAUCUCGUCAGAUCUCGCAAGCUAAGCAGGGUCGGUUCCUGGUUAGUACUUGCAUGGGAGACUUCCUGGGAAUACCAGUUGCUGUAAGCA
rnacentral:rRNA from 1 species